rnacentral:rRNA from 1 species
GUGCCAGCAGCCGCGGUAAAACGUAGGAUCCGAGCGUUAUCCGAAUUCACUGGGCGUAAAGCGCGUGCAGGCGGUCUGAUAAGUUGGAUGUAAAAACUCCUGGCUCAACUGGGAGGGGACGUCGAAUACUGUCAGACUAGAGGACGGCAGAGGAAGGUGGAAUUCCCGGUGUAGUGGUGAAAUGCGUAGAUAUCGGGAGGAACACCAGAGGCGAAGGCGGCCUUCUGGGCCGUACCUGACGCUCAGACGCGAAAGCUAGGGGAGCGAACGGGAUUAGAUACCCUCGUAGUCC